rnacentral:lncRNA from 1 species
GUGAUGAAUGGAGAUGGAUUAUGGUGAAACAAUCAUGAAGAGCUCGUGUUAGUUGUUGCGCAAGAUGCUGGUUUUUUGUCUUUUUCCAAUUUUUCUUUAUUUUCUAUUUGAUGUAAAGUGGAUAAUUAAUGUAAUAUAAAAAUAAAUUUUAAUUUAAUUCUAUCUUUUAUGUUUAAUGAAUGUAAAUAUUUGGUGUGAUAAAAAAAGUGAUUAAGUGGGAUGAUAUGGAUGUAUUAAAAUAAUAUAUCA